GGGGGCGACCUGGCUUCGACGCGGAUCGCGAAACCCGAGGUGCAUGCCGAGGCACAGACUACCUCGUAAAUCCAGCUGUAACCUUUUUAGUUGCCAACGACGACAACUACGCACUCGCUGCUUAAUACCCAGUAGGGUGCCAUCUGACCGGAGCCGUGCUUGUGCGUCCGUAAUCAGGUGUCACUUCUCACAAGAUCGCACUGAAGCGCGUCCGACGCGGAUUUGCUAAACACUUAUCGGAAUCGCUAUUUAUGUGCCCUGCCGGUCGGGUUAUAGAUAGUUAAAUAAAAGAUACGGAUAAGCAUGUAGAGCCGAAGGCAGAGGAUUUGUGGACGCGGGUUCGAUUCCCGCCGCCUCCACCA
rnacentral:tmRNA from 1 species